UGUGACAAUUGGCUUUAUAUUAAUAAGAAUACGAUCACAAGGAAGAUUAAGAAAGAGACGAAGAAAGAAGUUGGAAUAACUUGUUGAACAAAGAUAGUUGUACUUUCACUGGAGGAAACGUAAUCUAAAUAGGAUCUACCUUUGACAGACAGAGAAAAAGAGACUCAAGAGGAUUAUCCUGGAAGGAGAAAGCGAUGAUCCCGUAAAAAUGGGAUCUACACAGUUCAAAGAACAGCUGACUUCAUCGACAUUGGUCAAUGAGCCGGUUAAACAAAAUCCUACAGACGUUCAAAUUCUGAUCUAAAAUUUUAGAGUGUCCAUUCCUCAUAAAAUUGAAGAGCAAUUCUCGAGAGAUCAACUCUCAAAUAUAUUCACCUCGGCUAGAGAGUGUACGACAUCGAAAACGCAAUGGUUAAACGAUACAACGAACCGUUUAAAAAUACAUCACGCGGCCAGCCCGCAACGACACGUGGCAAUGAACAAUUUUCCCGUACCCUCUCGAUCGAAGGGUCGUUCACACCUGCAAAUUUCCCUGAUGACGAGACGUUACGUGGAUAUACAUAUGUAUAUGUUGCGGAGAGAAUGCGCCGCGCCUAGUCACGUAUCCGAUCAGACGAGAAUGGAAUCGGAUGAUGAGCUCGAGCAAGGUUCCGAGACGUUCAAAAUUGGAUGAUUCGUAGGCGUGGACCUAGAAACCCAACGUUAUAUUUCCAUCCAACGUUCGACCAUCCACUCUGUGGAGGCCAUCGAACGUGUCAUCGCCUUUGAGGAGAAUAUAGUUGUAAGAUUUGAUCCAUCGACCCUGUUGAGUGAAUUUGGCCUUGAAGAAGAAUUUAUGGAGAAUUUGGAAAGUUGAUUGACAGAAUAUUUAUGAUGAUGUUGAUCAACAAGAAUCAACGAGCGGUUCCAAUCAACGAGACGUCCAAGAGCGUAGGCGUGCGAGUAUAAAGGAACGUGGCCAACCAGAAAUUUUAUAUUUUUAUACAAAAAUUGUCGUCACCUUAAGCUACUUUCUAUAUAUUACCCCGUCUGUGACGUAAAUUUGUAUUAAUGAAUUUGUAUUAAUGAAAAUGAAAAAUAAUAGAAGAGAAAUUGACGUAAAUCAU